AAAACAUAAGGUAGACUUUUUAUAUAAGGGUAUAUUUGGUUCCACGCAAAAUUAAAAAAAAAAUUAUUUUUAGAAGAAAAUUAAUCUUAUGAACCUUUGAUAUUUGGUUUGUACUAAAAGGAAAAAUUUUUCAAAUAAUAGUUGUUUGGUUUGCAGGAAAGAAAUAAAAAAUAUUUUUACUUUUGUCCUAAAUAAAUAUAAAGUUAAUAUUUUAAUGUUAGAUAAUAUAGCUAAUAUAAGAACAAGGUGAAUAAUUUUUUAUUUUUAGAAAAUAAUGAAUGAUGCAUCACUUUUCUAAAUAUAAUAAAUUAUUUGCCUAAUUUUAUAAAUAAAAGUAUUGCGUGCCUAUUCUUAUAAUUCAAAAAUUUUAUAAGCCAGGUUACUCAAAAAUUAGGAAUUAAACCGACUGAAUAUGAUCAGAUUUUUGACCAAACUAUAUCCGUAUUCGAAAUUUUCUUCUGAUGCAAAUUUAAAUGCAGAUAUAUGUUGGAUGCUCAAUGUUCAUUAUCAUAUCUCCUUAAAACAGAUUGAAUUCGGAUUGGAUUUGAAUACUAUUCAGAUAAUAAUAUAUAUUAAUAUACAUAUAAAAAUAUAAACUAAAAUUAACGGGAAUAAGAUACAAUUUAAAAAGGUUCAUAUUUAUCUUCAAACUUCAAAUAUAGGCAUAUAUUUUAUUCAAUAAAAUUUAAUAUUUCAACAAAUAUAAAUAUAAUUUUAAUUUGAAAUUCAUCGUAACAUAAACGAAGAACAUAAGAAAAAAAUCACUUUAUCCCUCUCUAAUAUAAACUAACAUUCCUUCUAUCUCUUUUUAAGAAAUCAUAUUCGCAUCUAUAUAUUUUUUAUUUUUUUAAAUUCGAAUUCCAAUAGAAAUAUGUAUCGCGUGUUUGGUUCGAAGUUGAAGUCGGAAUCGGAAUCGGAAUCAAAAUAAGCUGGAAUCGGAAUCGGAAUGACUCAUUACCUAAUUCUGUUUGGUUCAUCACCUAAAUCGGAAUCGAAAUAAAUCAUUCCCAUUGUCGGUGUUUGGUUCAGAUGAAUAUAAAAACAUAAUCAAAUUAAUAUACUAACAUUAUCUUUAUAAUAUAUUAAUUUAAAUUCAAAUUAAAUAUUAAAUAUUAAAUAUUUACAUCAAAAUUUUGAAAUAAUGUCAAAAUUUUAAAUCUAUUUUUUUAA
rnacentral:lncRNA from 1 species